GCGAUCUCCGCUCACUGCAAGCUCCGCCUUCCGGGUUCACGCCAUUCUCCUGCCUCAGCCUCCCGAGUAGCUGGGACUACAGGCGCCCGCCACUGCGCCCGGCUAAUUUUUUGUAUUUUUAGUAGAGAGGGGGUUUCACCGUGGUCUCGAUCUCCUGACCUCGUGAUCCGCCCGCCUCAGCCUCCCAAAGUGCUGGGAUUACAGGCGUGAGCCACCGCGCCCGGCCAGUUCAAUGGAUUUUAAAAAUUAUUAUUCUCUAGAAAAAAGACCACGAACUUUGGAGUGGACAUCCUGAGACCUGCCUACGAAGACCAUUAGGUGGCCUCCAGAAGACACUCCCCUGAUUCCUACACCGAGGGAACACACAGCAGCAAGCUAGGAAAGAAGGGGUGACCCAGCCCAACGCUGUAAACCAGGGCGCGAACCGGCGUUGAGCUGUGCAGCUGCGCCCUGGGCUCCAGUCCUGCUCUGCCGCAGACCCCACCGGAGCCAGCACCUGCCUCCCCGACCCUCGCUGGGGCGGCUGUGAGAUGAGCCCAGAGCCUUCCUGAGCCAACCCUCGCAAGGAAAGUCUGUCUGUUCACCCCACUAUCCUUGUCUUGAAGGAUGAAGAAAAGAGGGCCCCCCGGGAGGUCCCAAAAGGUGGAAUGGACAUCUGGGAUCCAAGCACAGCAAUUUCUUUAUUUUUCUUAAGGUAUCCAGCUUGUUGGAAUCUAAGAUCUGCGAAGGUAUUAAUAGAAUUCCUGCAUCUUCUGCCACUCCCCAUAGAAGCUUGAAGUUACACAAAUGUUAAAUUAUACGUCAGAUGUGCAUAUAUGAACAAAACCUACGAGUGUGCAUGAAAUAACACCUUCUUAAAUAUAUAGAUUCUUUUUUCUGCAAUAUUAAAUGGAAACCCCACUAGAACAUCGUUUUUCCUUAAUAGCAUACCCUCCACACUGUGUGGUCUAAAUUCAAGCUCUACCACCUACUAGCCAUUAAGCAAGUUAUUAAGGUCUUCGUGCUUCCAUUUUCUUACGUGGAAAAUGAGGUGGCAAUAGUAUGUAUGAGUUCUUCGGAGGGAUUAAACAAGUCAAAUAGGCCAAGUGCCAUGGCUUACACCUGUAAGCCCAGCACUUUGGGAGGCCAAGGCAGGAGGACUGCUUGAGCCCAGGAGGUCAAGGCUGAAGUGAGCUGUGUUUGCAUCACUGCACUCCAGCCUGGGCAGCAGAGUGAGACUUUGUCUCUCAAUAAAUAAAGAAAUAGUCAAAUUAAAUAUAACUGGCAAACUAAAACAACUCCAUAGUCCUUAGCUACAAUUUGUCUCAUUUCUCCAAAGAAUUAAAUCAGAUGAUUCUUAACUAACUCAAAGCUCUGCAUAAUUUGUCUUCUGCUACACAUACAUCUUUAUAGUAAAAUAAAAUAAAGCUGUCCCCUCUGUAUUGAGAAGUUAUUCUGGUAAAUAUUUGACCUCUUCAAAUAUAUGAACGAGCACUUGCCUUCUAAUGCCUCAGUUUCAGAUUCUUUUUAGAAAUGUCAUUAUUCAAGAAAAAUGCACAAUGGGAAGAAUCUUAACAACAGCACUUUGUUACUUCAGCCUCUCACUAGAGGAUGAAAAUCGUUCUGCAUAAAGGCCUGGGCUUUAUGAAAAAUAUAUUCACACCUCCCGUGUCCGAGCUGGGAUACCAAAGAAGUUCCUGGUUGAGUACUACUUAUGAAUGAAGGAUUCAGGGGAUGCACAGGUGGGUGACUGCAAAUGCACAGACGUUGUGCUGUGUUCCCCACAAUAAAGGGGUCUGUAUUAAGAUGCAGGCAUUCUCAUGGAACACAGACGUAUAACACUCAAGCUGGGGGACUGCAAAGGAGCAUCUGGGGCUGCAGGAAGAGAGUUAAGGUGCAAAAAUGCCCUGACCCAACUGAGACUUGUAAUUGCUCAUGUGGUAAUACAUGUGACUUCAUUCCCCUGCUCUGUCUUUGUGAAUGCAACCAUUGUUGGGGAGAUAGUGAGAGGGGACACUGGCAUUGAAAGUUUUGUUUGCAGCAGGCCUCAAAAGGCACUCAGAUGCAGAUUUCCCUGCAAAGACUUCCCGGCCUAUCAUGGAGUUCCCCAUCCCUAGAUCUCUGAUCUCUGAGCUGGUGUAAUACUUAGUCUUUGUCUGUGUUGAUCAUGGCAUCUGCCACACUUAAUGUUUGUGGCAUUCACUUUCUGAUGCUUAGAUCUUACGAUUCUAGAGAACAGCAUUUUUCUACAUAUUCCCUCUUAGGGCCUUGAACAUAAUAAGUGCUCAAUAAAUACUGAGUGAAAUCCUCUACUCUGAGCUUUGCCUCUGAGCAGCUGUCCUAGUUCUCUCCAACAAGAAGUUUGUUGGGUCUCUCAAGUUCACUUCCACCUGUCACUGUCAGUUUUCAGUCCAGCCCCUUACUCAGGUCUGGCUGGCCCAUCUCCCCCAGAGGGCUGUCCCAUAGAGCCCAUUGUAAAGGACACUCAUUGUUGCCAAGAGUUUGUGCCAAUGCAGUAUGACUCACCCUUCACUCAUUGAACAAGCUCUUCCUGAUUACCUAGAUGGGCAAAAUUUCCCUGCUCAUGCGAAGCAGGCUGGCGACUCAGUGCUGCAGCAAAUGGCCCAGAAGCUGGGAAAGCAGAUAGCCGUUCUGACACUUCUCUUCUAGACAGAAAAUCAAGGGAAGCUCAAGACCCACACUUGAAUUUUUUUUAAAAAAUUAGACAAGGGGCUGGGUGUGGUGGCUCAUGCCUGUAAUCCCAGCACUUUGGGAGGCCGAGGCAGGCAGAUCACCUGAGGUUGGGAGUUCAAGACCAGCCUGACCAACAUGGAGAAACCCCUGUCUCUGUUAAAAAUACAAAAUUAGCCAGGCGUGGUGGCACAUGCCUAUAAUCCCAGCUACUCGGGAGGCUAAGGCAGGAGAAUCGCUUGAACCCCAGAGGCAGAGGUUGCGGUGAGCCGAGAUCGCACCACUGCACUGCAGCCUGGCAACAAGAGCGAAACUCAGUCUC
ensembl:lncRNA GRASLND glycosaminoglycan regulatory associated long non-coding RNA